GCUUGUAAUCAUCAUGAACAUCAAUCAGAACAAAUACCAACCUACCAGCAAUACAAUAAUGAGCAAGAAAGAUCUGGGACAGUAUUCUAGAAUUCCUAGAAAUUGAGAAGUGUAUUGAAAUCUGGCUUUACUUCCAUAAACAGAUAAUUCCCAACAUCUGAAAAAUGAAGAAUCUUGAAGAAAGUUAAUACUAAGGGCUAAUUAAAACAGACACUUGGAAUAAGCCCAAUAAUGUUUUGCCAAUGU